CACUGUCAAGAAAAGUCUCUAUCGAGGUUAAAGGUACCCGUACCGCAAACCGACACAGGUGGGUGAGGAGAGUAUCCUAAGGCUAGCGAGAGAACUGUUGUUAAGGAACUCGGCAAAAUGACCCCGUAACUUAGGGAUAAGGGGUGCCACCAUCAGGUGGCCGCAGAGAAUAGGCCCAAGCGACUGUUUACCAAAAACAUAGGUUUCUGCUAAGUCGCAAGACGAUGUAUAGGAGCUGACGCCUGCCCGGUGCUGGAAGGUUAAGGGGAUCUGUUAGAGCAAUCGAAGCAGUGAACUUAAGCCCCAGUAAACGGCGGCCGUAACUAUAACGGUCCUAAGGUAGCGAAAUUCCUUGUCGGGUAAGUUCCGACCCGCACGAAAGGCGUAACGAUUUGGGCACUGUCUCAACAACAGACUCGGUGAAAUUGUAAUUCCGGUGAAGAUGCCGGAUACCUGCGACAGGACGGAAAGACCCCAUGGAGCUUUACUGUAGCUUGACAUUGGGUCUUGGUACUACAUGUACAGGAUAGGUGGGAGGCUUUGAAACCAGGACGCCAGUUUUGGCGGAGCCAUCCUUGGGAUACCACCCUUGUAGUACUGGGACUCUAACCAUAGGCCAUGAAUCUGGUCUUGGGACACUGUCAGGUGGGCAGUUUGACUGGGGCGGUCGCCUCCCAAAAGGUAACGGAGGCGCUCAAAGGUUCUCUCAGUACGGUCGGAAAUCGUACGUAGAGUGUAAAGGCAAAAGAGAGCUUGAUUGCAAGACAUACAGGUCGAGCAAGGAUGAAAAUCGGACUUAGUGAUCCGGUGGUUCUGCGUGGAAGGGCCAUCGCUCAACGGAUAAAAGCUACCCUGGGGAUAACAGGCUUAUCUCCCCCAAGAGUCCACAUCGACGGGGAGGUUUGGCACCUCGAUGUCGGCUCAUCACAUCCUGGGGCUGUAGUAGGUCCCAAGGGUUGGGCUGUUCGCCCAUUAAAGUGGUACGCGAGCUGGGUUCAGAACGUCGUGAGACAGUUCGGUCCCUAUCCGUCGCAGGCGUAGGAAAUUUGAGAAGACCUGUCCUUAGUACGAGAGGACCGGGAUGGACGUACCUCUGGUGUACCAGUUGUCCUGCCAAGGGCAUGGCUGGGUAGCUAUGUACGGAAUGGAUAAGCGCUGAAAGCAUCUAAGCGCGAAGCCAACUUCAAGAUAAGAUUUCCCACCGCAAGGGUAAGACCCCAGAAAGACUAUCUGGUUGAUAGGUCGAAGGUGUAAGUGCAGCAAUGUAUUUAGCUUAUCGAUACUAAUAG
rnacentral:rRNA from 1 species